rnacentral:tRNA from 1 species
ACCUUCGUGGUGUAACGGUAGUACACUCGACGUGUAUUCGAGAGGUCCAGUUUCGAAUCCCGGUGAAGGCA